CCUACGGGAGGCAGCAGUGGGGAAUAUUGGACAAUGGGGGCAACCCUGAUCCAGCCAUGCCGCGUGUGUGAAGAAGGCCCUCGGGUUGUAAAGCACUUUCAGUGAGGAAGAACGCCUGGUGGUUAAUACCCAUCAGGAAAGACAUCACUCACAGAAGAAGCACCGGCUAACUCCGUGCCAGCAGCCGCGGUAAUACGGAGGGUGCGAGCGUUAAUCGGAAUUACUGGGCGUAAAGCGCGCGUAGGUGGCUUGAUAAGCCGGUUGUGAAAGCCCCGGGCUCAACCUGGGAACGGCAUCCGGAACUGUCAAGCUAGAGUGCAGGAGAGGAAGGUAGAAUUCCCGGUGUAGCGGUGAAAUGCGUGGAGAUCGGGAGGAAUACCAGUGGCGAAGGCGGCCUUCUGGACUGACACUGACACUGAGGUGCGAAAGCGUGGGUAGCAAACAGGAUUAGAUACCCCGGUAGUC
rnacentral:rRNA from 1 species